GCCUACAGGCCUGGAGGGACACGAGCAGCUCCCAGGAGCUAUGGGACUUUGAGGAGAGGAGGACAGAGUAUUUUAAGUUUGGUUGGGCUUCAUGCAGUGGAAUUUCCCCUGGUUACCCCUUAAGAAGAGUUUGCAUUAAGAGCUUCAGUGUGUCUCAAAGUUUUCGAGUCUGAUGGCAGUUCUCAGGAAUAUGGCUCCAGCUUGAGGUGUGCCUUGCAGUGGAAGCAGAUGGGCUGUGUUUUAUUUGAGUUACAGGAGAGCAGAGGCCCCUGUUCUUAAUGCAGCGUUGAGAGUGGAAAGCAGGGAGGAUAUUCAGAGAUGUGAGAAGAUGGGGCUUGGAAACCAGCUGCUGAUCCUCAGAGCACGCCAGCGCACUGGCGUCCCCCAGACGACAUCCAGGUGAUGAGGAUCAAGACUCCCCAGGGAGAGAAGCCCAAGGCGUCCUGCCUACAUGGCAUCUAUGUCAUCCUCCAGGCAGUCUAGGAUGUCCUGACCUAAUCCGACCUGAUUUGUAUCCAAAGUUAUAGGACCAUCCGAUAACCAACCCCAGCUGCACAGAUACCAUUUCAACAACUUUUCUCACUUGACCUUUCCUUUGUCUUGUAAAGAAAUAACUCACAUGCCUAUGCCUUAUAAAUAAGCUCUACUCUCAACCCAUUGCAGCUCUUCAGGCCCACAGGUCCUGUCCCCAUGCCUGCAGGUCUCACUGCCCACGGGUCCUGUCCCCACACCUGCAGCUCUCACUGCCCACCACUCCUGUCCCCAUGCUAUUCUCUGAAUAAAGGAGCACUACUACCAGACCUUGAGAGUCCAAGAAAUUUUUCUUUUGACUCCCCACCUUGCAAAGCCCGCAUCACAGGGAGGGGUUGCCUGACCACCGUGCAGGCUGCUCUGCUCUGCUCUGCUUAUCGCCAAGGGAGGCCAGAUAUAGGGGCAUCCCACUCAGUCCCCGACAUCCAACACUGCUCAGGCCCAGCCGCCUCCAAGGAAAUGCCCCUCCCUCAGGGACGGGGACUCCC
rnacentral:lncRNA from 1 species